rnacentral:rRNA from 1 species
UACAGAGGGUGCGAGCGUUAAUCGGAAUUACUGGGCGUAAAGCGUGCGUAGACGGUUUCGUAAGUCGGGUGUGAAAUCCCCGGGCUCAACCUGGGAAUGGCAUUUGGGACUGCAAGGCUGGAGUUUGGCAGAGGAGACUGGAAUUCCUGGUGUAGCAGUGAAAUGCGUAGAUAUCAGGAGGAACACCGGUGGCGAAGGCGGGUCUCUGGGCCGAUACUGACGCUGGAGGAGCGAAAGCGUGGGGAGCGAACAGG